rnacentral:misc_RNA from 1 species
UCAAACUUGGUCAUUUAGAGGAAGUAAAAGUCGUAACAAGGUUUCCGUAGGUGAACCUGCGGAAGGAUCAUUACCGAUGUCCCCGGAUUCCGGUGGGGCCCCCCGCCCCGCCGGACUUCUGUUCGACACACUGACCCACCUGUGCACCUUUGGAGGGCAUGCCGAGACGGCCGCCCUCGACGUUUUUUUCGAACGCCUGGUAUCGUUGGAAUGUUUUUACGUUUUGAUGUAAUUUCGAACACAACUUUCAACAACGGAUCUCUUGGCUCUCGCAUCGAUGAAGAACGCAGC